GUUGGCAUUGCAAUUGGGGUCCUGGUUGGUGUGGCACUGGUGGCUGUCCUGGGGUAUCUCUUACUCCGCAUGAGGAUGGGAAGGACCGGUUGCCUACGUACUCACAAAGAGAUCGGGAACCCAGCCUCCACCCCUGGCCAUGGACAAGCCAGCAGCUCCACAUCCCCGAACUCCCGACCCAGCACGACUACAGCCGUUCCCAUCUACCAGGAAUUACAACAUACUGACAGGAACAUUUACUGCCAGAUCAACCACAAACCACAAGUGUCUUCUUAGUUUCCCCUAGGAGCUACUCCUCCAGGGGCCCUCCUGAGACCCCAGGCCCUAGGUGGGGUCAGGUGCCCCAGCCUGAGCCACAGAAUCAACUCUAAGUCCAGAGGAUAUUCAACAACAUUGGCCCAGGUACAGGCCUUCCUGUUUUCUGGAAACCCUGACAGACUGCCCUGAACCCUGAAUGGGCCAGGCCAAAGGCCCCCAUGUCCCAGGAAAUGGGGGUUCCCAGGGAAAAUAUCCCAGCCCCUGACUCACCAAGGGCUACA